CCUACGGGAGGCAGCAGUGNGGAAUAUUGGUCAAUGGGCGCAACUGANCCAGCCAUGCCGCGUGCAGGAAGACGGUCCUAUGGAUUGUAAACUGCUUUUAUACAGGAAGAAACAACUCUACGUGUAGAGUCUUGACGGUACUGUAGGAAUAAGGAUCGGCUAACUCCGUGCCAGCAGCCGCGGUAAU
rnacentral:rRNA from 1 species